rnacentral:lncRNA from 1 species
GAAUCACGGCACGGGGGGAGUCACGGCACAGGGGGAGUCACGGCCCGGGGGGGUCACGGCACGGGGGGAGUCACGGCACGGGGGGGUCACGGCACGGGGGAGUCACGGCACGGGGGGAGUCACGGCACGGGGGGAAUCACGGCACGGGGGGAGUCACGGCACAGGGGGAGUCACGGCCCGGGGGGGUCACGGCCCGGGGGGAGUCACGGCACGGGGGGAGUCACGGCACGGGGGGAGUCACGGCACGGGGGGAGUCACGGCACGGGGGGGUCACGGCACGGGGGAGUCACGGCACGGGGGGAGUCACGGCACGGGGGGGGUCACGGCACGGGGGGAGUCACGGCACAGGGGGAGUCACGGCCCGGGGGGGUCACGGCCCGGGGGGGUCACGGCCCGGGGGGAGUCACGGCACAGGGGGAGUCACGGUUCUUGAAUUGUUGUUUUUAUAUAUCAUUAUGGAGAAAUGAAAUUUCAUGCUGUUAAAUAUUCAUAUCUAUCAACUUAUAGCCCAGGCAGGUGUGCAAUGGUGCAAUCU